GAUCCUACGGGGGGCUGCAGUGGGGAAUUUUGGACAAUGGGGGAAACCCUGAUCCAGCCAUCCCGCGUGUGCGAUGAAGGCCUUCGGGUUGUAAAGCACUUUUGGCAGGGAAGAAACAGCCUGGGCUAAUAUCCCGGGCGACUGACGGUACCUGCAGAAUAAGCACCGGCUAACUACGUGCCAGCAGCCGCGGUAAUACGUAGGGUGCAAGCGUUAAUCGGAAUUACUGGGCGUAAAGCGUGCGCAGGCGGUUCGGAAAGAAAGGUGUGAAAUCCCAGGGCUUAACCUUGGAACUGCACUUUUAACUACCGGGCUAGAGUACGUCAGAGGGGGGUAGAAUUCCACGUGUAGCAGUGAAAUGCGUAGAGAUGUGGAGGAAUACCGAUGGCGAAGGCAGCCCCCUGGGAUGAUACUGACGCUCAUGCACGAAAGCGUGGGGAGCAAACAGGAUUAGAUACCCCAGUAGUCC
rnacentral:rRNA from 1 species